UGAGGAAUAUUGGUCAAUGGACGGAAGUCUGAACCAGCCAUGCCGCGUGAAGGAUGAAGGCGUUCUGCGUUGUAAACUUCUUUUAUCAGGGAAGAAACCGUUGUAUUCUUAUGACGUUGACGGUACCUGAUGAAUAAGCACCGGCUAACUCCGUGCCAGCAGCCGCGGUAAUACGGAGGGUGCAAGCGUUAUCCGGAUUUACUGGGUUUAAAGGGUGUGUAGGCGGGCAUUUAAGUCUGGGGUGAAAUCUCCGAGCUCAACUCGGAAACUGCCUUGGAUACUAUUUGUCUUGAAUUAUGUUGAGGUUGGCGGAAUAUAACAUGUAGCGGUGAAAUGCAUAGAUAUGUUAUAGAACACCGAUUGCGAAGGCAGCUGACUAAGCAUAUAUUGACGCUGAGGC
rnacentral:rRNA from 1 species